rnacentral:miRNA from 1 species
CGGAGAACUGCGAACGGG